rnacentral:rRNA from 1 species
UACGUAGGCAGCAAGCGUUGUUCGGAGUUACUGGGCGUAAAGGGUGCGUAGGCGGCCGUGUAAGUGUGGUGUGAAAUCUCCCGGCUUAACUGGGAGGGUGCGCUACAGACUGCAUGGCUAGAGUGUGGGAGAGGAGAGUGGAAUUCCUGGUGUAGCGGUGAAAUGCGUAGAUAUCAGGAGGAACACCGGUGGUGUAAACGGCUUUCUGGACCAUAACUGACGCUGAUGCACGAAAGCGUGGGUAGCAAACAGG